ACUCUACCUCUUGACUAUAAAUAUAUAUAUAUAUAUGUGUGUGUGUGUGUGUGUGUAUAUGUACACACACAAAUAUAUGCAGACAUCUUUACA
rnacentral:miRNA from 12 species